rnacentral:lncRNA from 1 species
GUACGGGAAAACAUGGUUUAUAUAUAAUGUUUGAGUUUUUAUUAGCUUUUAAUGAGCUUUCAAUAACUGAAAGUACUAUUAAGUUUUGAUUGUUUGUCUUCAUGUUAGAUUUUUUAGCUUUGUACCAAUUCAAUGAAUCAAAACAAUUUCUAACCGAUUUCACCACUUUGUUCCUCUUUUGUGCUGUUACACAACAGUCACAACAUUCUAUUUAUGCCUGUUCCAAGUCCGGAUGAAAUUUAGUUGUUGUUUGAUGCAGUCUGCCAUAUUUGAUUUAUUUUGGCAAAUCAUUUUACAUUUUGUCAUGUCAAGCCUUGAUGGCCUGACAGUUAUACAUUUUUUGUAGCUGACAGUAUGAGCUUUGUUCAUUGUUAAAGGUAUUAAGGUGUCCUAUAUAGAUGCUUAAAUCCAGUUCAUAUAAACAUUAG